AUAAGCGGAGGAAAAGAAACUAACAAGGAUUCCCCUAGUAACUGCGAGUGAAGCGGGAAAAGCUCAAAUUUAAAAUCUGGCGGUCUCUGGCCGUCCGAGUUGUAAUCUAGAGAAGUGUUAUCCGCGCUGGACCGUGUACAAGUCUCCUGGAAUGGAGCGUCAUAGAGGGUGAGAAUCCCGUCUUUGACACGGACUGCCAGGGCUUUGUGAUGCGCUCUCAAAGAGUCGAGUUGUUUGGGAAUGCAGCUCAAAAUGGGUGGUAAAUUCCAUCUAAAGCUAAAUAUUGGCGAGAGACCGAUAGCGAACAAGUACCGUGAGGGAAAGAUGAAAAGAACUUUGGAAAGAGAGUUAAACAGUACGUGAAAUUGCUGAAAGGGAAACGCUUGAAGUCAGUCGCGUUGGCCGGGGAUCAACCUUGCUUUUGCUGGGCGUACUUUCCGGUUGACGGGUCAGCAUCAAUUUUGACCGUUGGAUAAAGUCCAGGGGAAUGUGGCAUCUUCGGAUGUGUUAUAGCCCUUGGUCGCAUACAACGGUUGGGAUUGAGGAACUCAGCACGCCGCAAGGCCGGGUACUUGUACCACGUUCGUGCUUAGGAUGCUGGCAUAAUGGCUUUAAUCGACCCGUCUUGAAACACGGACCAAGGAGUCUAACAUGCCUGCGAGUGUUUGGGUGGAAAACUCGGACGCGUAAUGAAAGUGAAAGUUGAGAUCCCUGUCGUGGGGAGCAUCGACGCCCGGACCAGACCUUUUGUGACGGAUCCGCGGUAGAGCAUGUAUGUUGGGACCCGAAAGAUGGUGAACUAUGCCUGAAUAGGGUGAAGCCAGAGGAAACUCUGGUGGAGGCUCGUAGCGAUUCUGACGUGCAAAUCGAUCGUCAA
rnacentral:rRNA from 1 species